rnacentral:rRNA from 1 species
UACGAAGGAGGCUAGCGUUGCUCGGAUUGACUGGGCGUAAAGGGCGCGUAGGCGGUUUGUACAGUCAGACGUGAAAUUCCUGGGCUCAACCUGGGGGCUGCGUUUGAUACGUGCGAGCUUGAGUUCGGAAGAGGGUCGUGGAAUUCCCAGUGUAGAGGUGAAAUUCGUAGAUAUUGGGAAGAACACCGGUGGCGAAGGCGGCUCUCUAGUACGGUACUGACGCUGAGACGCGAAAGCGUGGGGAGCGAACAGG